UUUGCAGCAAUUUAUAUUAUAGAUGUUAUUUAGUGGCUGUUGAGAUAAACGUAGGAUGCUCUCAGAGUAUGAUAAUAGAACAUAGACAAUGUCUUAUAUCGAAGCAAAGUCAGGGCAUUGGAUUGGUUAUUACAUGCAGUAUAGCGAUAGACACGCGUUUUCCAUUAAUCUCCAGUUCGAGGCUGAUUCAGUUGACGGAAGUGGAGAUGACGAAAUCGGAACAUUCUCGAUCAAAGGAAAGUUUGAUCCAAUAACUGGAAAAAUAGAUUUUGUAAAACGCUAUCAUGGUGCUCAUGGUGUAAACUAUUCCGGUUUCGUGUCAGGGGAUGGGUUUAGUAUGAAAGGAAAGUAUGAUGUAAGCGGCUUUGGGGAUGAUUUCCACAUGUCAGUUAAUACUUGGUGGUAACUUCGUGGAAUAAAACACAUCCUUGGAAAUGUAAAUUUGAGUAUGGACUUAUCAGACCUAAAUUCUUCGUUCGUUCCUCUCGGUUUAUACAGGAAAUGCGAAUUCUGAAAUAAAAUACAUGUCAAACAUAAUUAUGAUAUCAACACUUGUAACAUUUCUAAAAAUUCUAUUUUUGAAAUAGUCUGCAGCCUUUGUAGUUUUAUGUAUUACUCAGUAUGUACAAAAACAGUACAGGUGCUCAGAAUUUGUGUUUUUCAAUGUCGUAACAUACACCCAGUGUACUUCUACAAUGCAUACAAAUGCUGUGUGAAUGUCAACAAUUAUAGCUGUUAAUCUAAUCAAA